rnacentral:rRNA from 1 species
CCUACGGGAGUCAGCAGUGAGGAAUAUUGGUCAAUGGACGAGAGUCUGAACCAGCCAAGUAGCGUGAAGGAUGACUGCCCUAUGGGUUGUAAACUUCUUUUAUAAAGGAAUAAAACGAGGCACGUGUGCCUUUUUGCAUGUACUUUAUGAAUAAGGAUCGGCUAACUCCGUGCCAGCAGCCGCGGUAAUACGGAGGAUCCGAGCGUUAUCCGGAUGUAUCGGGUUUAAAGGGAGCGUAGAUGGGUUGUUAAGUCAGUUGUGAAAGUUUGCGGCUCAACCGUAAAAUUGCAAUUGAUACUGGCAGUCUUGAGUACAGUUGAGGUAGGCGGAAUUCGUGGUGUAGCGGUGAAAUGCUUAGAUAUCACGAAGAACCCCGAUUGCGAAGGCAGCUUACUAAACUGUGACUGACAUUGAUGCUCGAAAGUGUGGGGAUCAAACAGGAUUAGAUACCCGAGUAGUC